UACGGAGGGGGCUAGCGUUGUUCGGAAUUACUGGGCGUAAAGCGUACGUAGGCGGCUUUGUAAGUUAGAGGUGAAAGCCCGGGGCUCAACUCCGGAAUUGCCUUUAAGACUGCAUCGCUUGAAUCAUGGAGAGGUUAGUGGAAUUCCGAGUGUAGAGGUGAAAUUCGUAGAUAUCGGAAGGAACAUCAGUGGCGAAGGCGACCACCUGGACUGAUACUGACACUGAGGUGCGAAAAGCGUGGGGAGCGAACAGG
rnacentral:rRNA from 1 species